rnacentral:lncRNA from 1 species
GGGAGGAGGACCUAGAAUAGACUUAGGGGAUGGCGUGGAUGCAGAUGAGGUUGUAGUGCGGGAGUCACUACGAUUUCUAUACGGUGUCCUAGUCACUAAUUCAUAAUCCCGAACGAAAGAGUAGGCGUGGUCGAGAGUGGUGACACCCCUAAGGACAAGCUCGCGCCUAAGUUCGUCUCUUAAACCUUGCCUAAACCUACUUAAAGUCAUAACUUCAUCCUCAACAACCUGACAUUUCAUUCGAAACUCAUCAAACUGAGCAACAUAUUCGGUCACAGGUCGAUUGCCUUGUGUAAGUGCGUUCCAUUGAUCCAGCAAGUUACCCCUAUAAGAUUGGGGUAAAUAUUUUUCUUGAAGGCGACGCUUCAUUUCAUCCCAACUCCCAACAGGGGGAGCAUGACGCCUUUCAAGGAGGUCCUCAACACUCUCCCAAAAGAGCUGAGCAGUGCCAGUUAACUUCAAACUGGCAAAUUGUACCCUCCGAUCUUCCGGGACCCCAUACCAUGCAAAGAAGCGAUCCAUAUCUCUAACCCAUUGAUUGAAUGCACUAGGAUCUAGACAACCGUCAAACGUAGGGGCAUCCAACUUAAUGUUUCGAAAGAGGCGCUCCUCGUGGCGAGGGGGAGAUUGUGUACCAUGACGAUGAUACUCCCGCUCUCGUUCCCGAGCCUGAUUCCCUUCCCUACGACCAUGUCGGGCGUGGUGUCGACCACCUUGUGGGCGACGAUGAGGCCUAUUAAUGGAAGCCUCAGAGUUCUCAGCCUCAGUCGAAUAUGGGAUUGGGUCAAGAGUAUUCAACCUAGCGGUUAGGGCUCUAUUCUCUUCACGAGUAGCGGCUACCUCAGUUUGGACAGCUGUUAGUUGAUUUUGUAAUUGUGCAAGCUGUCUGGUGAGGGCCUCAAUUUGGGCGGGGUCCAUGGUAAGGUUACUAGAGCUAGAUGCAGUAACGCGACCACUACGCAAUUG